rnacentral:rRNA from 1 species
CCUACGGGUGGCAGCAGUGAGGAAUAUUGGUCAAUGGACGAGAGUCUGAACCAGCCAAGUAGCGUGAAGGAUGACUGCCCUAUGGGUUGUAAACUUCUUUUAUAUGGGAAUAAAAUGUUCCACGUGUGGGAUUUUGUAUGUACCAUAUGAAUAAGGAUCGGCUAACUCCGUGCCAGCAGCCGCGGUAAUACGGAGGAUCCGAGCGUUAUCCGGAUUUAUUGGGUUUAAAGGGAGCGUAGGUGGAUUGUUAAGUCAGUUGUGAAAGUUUGCGGCUCAACCGUAAAAUUGCAGUUGAUACUGGCAGUCUGGAGUACAGUAGAGGUAGGCGGAAUUCGUGGUGUAGCGGUGAAAUGCGUAGAUAUCACGAAGAACUCCGAUUGCGAAGGCAGCUCACUGGACUGCAACUGACACUGAGGCUCGAAAGUGUGGGUAUCAAACAGGAUUAGAUACCCGAGUAGUC